CCUACGGGCGGCAGCAGUCGAGAAUCAUUCACAAUGGGGGAAACCCUGAUGCAGCGACGCCGCGUGCGGGAAGACGGUCCUCUGGAUUGUAAACCACUGUUCCCAGGGACGAAGAUGACGGUACCUGGGGAGGAAGCCCCGGCUAACUACGUGCCAGCAGCCGCGGUAAUACGAAGGGAGCGAGCGUUGUCCGGAAUUACUGGGUGUAAAGGGGGCGUUGGCGGGUCUGCAGGUUGUGGGUCAAAUCUACCGGCGAAACCGGGAGCCGCACUCCAAACUGCAGUGCUUGAGUGAAGUAGAGGCAGGCGGAAUUCAUGGUGUAGCGGUGAAAUGCGUAGAUAUUAGGAGGAACACCGGUGGCGAAGGCGGCCUGCUGGGCUUUUACUGACGCUGAGGCUCGAAAGUGUGGGGAGCAAACAGGAUUAGAUACCCCUGUAGUC
rnacentral:rRNA from 1 species